rnacentral:lncRNA from 1 species
GUGCAUGUGUGUGUUCCUGUGAGUGUAGUUGCUUUAGAAUAUUGAAUUUCCAUUGAAUGGUGUACUUAGAAUGUGAAAAUUUAGCCAGGAACUGUUUCUUGUUUAUUUCAGUUGAACUGACUUUGGUGUAUUUUAACUAGAAAGGUGUUGGGUUCUGUAUUUUUGCCUCUAUUUUUCUUUCCAGAGGUGAGAACGGGUAGGAUAUUUAGCUUAUAUGUCCUGUAACUCAAAAUUUUUUAAAUUUCAGAAUUGUUAGAGUCCAAUAGAUAUAUCUUUGAUUUUAGUUUUAAUAAUUUCAAGAUUCUAUAAUUGUUAAUCUCAGACCAUUUAA